AUGUCCCCCUUCAAAGUGUUAUAUGGACGAAAGUGUCGGACCCCUCUGAACUGGUCAGAAACUGGGGAACGUCCACUCUUCGGUCCGAAUAUUAUCCAACAGGCCGAAGAACAAGUCUGCAUUAUACGCGAGAAUCUCAAGACUGCUCAGUCACGUCAGAAAAGUCAGUAUGACUGUCAUCACAAAGACAUGGUCUAUCAACCUGGCGAAAAGGCUUAUCUUCGAGUUACACCAAUGAAGGGUGCUCGCCGCUUCGGGAUCAAGGGCAAGCUAGCUCCUCGCUAUAUCGGUCCCUUCACUAUUCUUGAAAGGCGUGGAAAAGUGGCAUUUCAACUGGAGCUUCCGUCCAACCUUUCUCAGGUUCAUGAUGUGUUCCACGUGUCACAGCUCCGCCGUUGCUUCAAGGACCCAAUCCGAGCAGUGGAUCAUGAAGUGCUCGAAUUGCAACAGGACCUCUCCUAUAAAGAGUAUCUGGUCCGCAUUCUUGACCAAGCUGAAUGCCGCACACGUCAGAAGGCGAUCAAAUUCCUCAAAGUCCAGUGGUCGCAUCACUCUGGAGAUGAAGCCACUUGGGAACGCGAGGAUCGUCUGCGGGAUGAAUACCGCGCACUGUUUCCUUCUACCUCCUAA
rnacentral:rRNA from 1 species